UCAGUGCGGCGACACGGCCAAAAUUUUCCCCAUGUUGCUCAUAGCUGCCCAUAAUCCACGCGGCUGUUCGAGUGUCAGGCCGUGCCCCGAAUAAUUGGACGUCUUAGCACCCAUCAUCGCAUCACCCGAUUUUGUUGGAGAGGCGAUGGGUCGGUAGUCCAUACAUCA
rnacentral:snoRNA from 1 species